AUUUAGUGGCGGACGGGUGAGUAACGCGUGAGAAUCUACCUUCAGGACGGAGACAACAGUUGGAAACGACUGCUAACCCCCGAUGUACUGAAAAGGCAAAUAUUUAUAGCCUGAAGAAGAGCUCGCGUCCGAUUAGCUAGUUGGAGAGGUAAAAGCUCACCAAGGCGACGAUCGGUAGCUGGUCUGAGAGGACGAUCAACCACACUGGGACUGAGACACGGCCCAG
rnacentral:rRNA from 1 species